UUUCUCCUGAUUUUUAGCAUUUUU
rnacentral:miRNA from 1 species